rnacentral:lncRNA from 1 species
AUGGCUCCCACAGAGGCAGGCAACACACACACACACACACACCCCGACUGGGACGUGCUCACCAUGACACACACUCAUCCUGACCCACACACCCUCGGAAUGACACGCACAUACACACACAACCAGGCAGACACCACGGACACACGACCUCGCGGCGACACGCAGCGACUCCCACCCGGGUGGCACACACGCGCACCCUGCCGCACCCCGCACCCACACCCCCUUCACACUUGCGCGCCGCCAGGCACCCGACCCGAUGACACACGCACACAAAGACCCCCAGCCCUGCCCCCACGCUCACGUUCACGCUCGCCUCGUCCCGCAGGCCCAGGCCCCCCCUCCCCCAUUGUCUCCGGCUCAGAACAAAGCCCCCGGCUCCAGCGCCGCCGCCGCCGCCCCGGAGAGGCCACGGGCCGGGCGGGCGCGGCCGGACGGGCCGGGCGGGCGCGGGCACUGACCUCCGCGCGGCGCAGGCUCCCUCGCCCGGUCCUGGGGCGCCGUCCGGCCGCGGUCAGCCCCCCGGGCAGCGCCCGCCCGCGCGGGGCCUGGGGCCGCGCAUCGUCCGCCGCCGCCGCCGCCUCCGGGCCCGCGAUCCGCUCCGGGCAGCCGGCCGUCGGUCCGUGCGCCCCGGGCCGUCGGUCCGUCCUUCCCCGCCGCCGCCGCCGCCGCCGCCGCCGGGGCGCCGCCUCCUCCACAGCCGCCCCGCGGAGGAUGCGAGAUUCGCCGCCGCGGCCCCGCGCCCCCUCCCCUCCCCCCCCCUCCCCUCCCCUCCCCGCCCUCCGCGCGGUAACCCGAGCCCCCGCCCCCCGCCCCCCGCCCGCGGAGCCCCCGCCCCGCCCCCACCCGCGCUCCGCGCUCCGCGCCCCGCGCCGCGCCCGCCCCAGCGCCCGCCUGGCCUCCCUCCGCCCCUCGACUUCCCGGCCCGGGUCCGCCGCUCCGGAUCCGGCCCCAGCGCCGCGCGGUCCUCGCGUCCCGGUUCUCGAGCCUUGUCCGGGUCACUUCGCCCGGCCCCCUCCUCCCAUCCCGAUCUCGACAUCCUCUCCGUAG